rnacentral:piRNA from 1 species
UCAAUGCUGCUUAUUCCUGGUUUUCUACA